AGAGUUUGAUCAUGGCUCAGAUUGAACGCUGGCGGCAGGCCUAACACAUGCAAGUCGAACGGUAACAGGAAGCAGCUUGCUGCUUCGCUGACGAGUGGCGGACGGGUGAGUAAUGUCUGGGAAACUGCCUGAUGGAGGGGGAUAACUACUGGAAACGGUGGCUAAUACCGCAUAACGUCGCAAGACCAAAGAGGGGGACCUUCGGGCCUCUUGCCAUCAGAUGUGCCCAGAUGGGAUUAGCUAGUUGGUGAGGUAACGGCUCACCAAGGCGACGAUCCCUAGCUGGUCUGAGAGGAUGACCAGCCACACUGGAACUGAGACACGGUCCAGACUCCUACGGGAGGCAGCAGUGGGGAAUAUUGCACAAUGGGCGCAAGCCUGAUGCAGCCAUGCCGCGUGUAUGAAGAAGGCCUUCGGGUUGUAAAGUACUUUCAGCGGGGAGGAAGGUGUUGUGGUUAAUAACCGCAGCAAUUGACGUUACCCGCAGAAGAAGCACCGGCUAACUCCGUGCCAGCAGCCGCGGUAAUACGGAGGGUGCAAGCGUUAAUCGGAAUUACUGGGCGUAAAGCGCACGCAGGCGGUCUGUCAAGUCGGAUGUGAAAUCCCCGGGCUCAACCUGGGAACUGCAUUCGAAACUGGCAGGCUUGAGUCUUGUAGAGGGGGGUAGAAUUCCAGGUGUAGCGGUGAAAUGCGUAGAGAUCUGGAGGAAUACCGGUGGCGAAGGCGGCCCCCUGGACAAAGACUGACGCUCAGGUGCGAAAGCGUGGGGAGCAAACAGGAUUAGAUACCCUGGUAGUCCACGCCGUAAACGAUGUCUACUUGGAGGUUGUGCCCUUGAGGCGUGGCUUCCGGAGCUAACGCGUUAAGUAGACCGCCUGGGGAGUACGGCCGCAAGGUUAAAACUCAAAUGAAUUGACGGGGGCCCGCACAAGCGGUGGAGCAUGUGGUUUAAUUCGAUGCAACGCGAAGAACCUUACCUGGUCUUGACAUCCACAGAAGAAUCCAGAGAUGGAUUGGUGCCUUCGGGAACUGUGAGACAGGUGCUGCAUGGCUGUCGUCAGCUCGUGUUGUGAAAUGUUGGGUUAAGUCCCGCAACGAGCGCAACCCUUAUCCUUUGUUGCCAGCGGUUAGGCCGGGAACUCAAAGGAGACUGCCAGUGAUAAACUGGAGGAAGGUGGGGAUGACGUCAAGUCAUCAUGGCCCUUACGACCAGGGCUACACACGUGCUACAAUGGCGCAUACAAAGAGAAGCGACCUCGCGAGAGCAAGCGGACCUCAUAAAGUGCGUCGUAGUCCGGAUUGGAGUCUGCAACUCGACUCCAUGAAGUCGGAAUCGCUAGUAAUCGUGGAUCAGAAUGCCACGGUGAAUACGUUCCCGGGCCUUGUACACACCGCCCGUCACACCAUGGGAGUGGGUUGCAAAAGAAGUAGGUAGCUUAACCUUCGGGAGGGCGCUUACCACUUUGUGAUUCAUGACUGGGGUGAAGUCGUAACAAGGUAACCGUAGGGGAACCUGCGGUUGGAUCACCU
rnacentral:rRNA from 1 species